rnacentral:rRNA from 1 species
AACGAACGCUGGCGGCAGGCCUAACACAUGCAAGUCGAGCGAAGCCUUCGGGCUUAGCGGCGGACGGGUGAGUAACGCGUGGGAACGUGCCCUUUGGUACGGAAUAGCCCCGGGAAACUGGGAGUAAUACCGUAUGUGGCCGAGAGACGAAAGAUUUAUCGCCAAAGGAUCAGCCCGCGUUGGAUUAGGUAGUUGGUGGGGUAAUGGCCUACCAAGCCGACGAUCCAUAGCUGGUUUGAGAGGAUGAUCAGCCACACUGGGACUGAGACACGGCCCAGACUCCUACGGGAGGCAGCAGUGGGGAAUUUUGGACAAUGGGGGCAACCCUGAUCCAGCCAUGCCGCGUGAGUGAAGAAGGCCUUAGGGUUGUAAAGCUCUUUUGCCAGGGACGAUAAUGACGGUACCUGGAGAAUAAGCCCCGGCAAACUUCGUGCCAGCCGCCGCUGUAAAAC